rnacentral:rRNA from 1 species
UACGUAGGGUGCGAGCGUUGUCCGGAAUUAUUGGGCGUAAAGGGCUCGUAGGCGGUUUGUCGCGUCGGGAGUGAAAACUCAGGGCUUAACCCUGAGCCUGCUUCCGAUACGGGCAGACUAGAGGUAUGCAGGGGAGAAUGGAAUUCCUGGUGUAGCGGUGAAAUGCGCAGAUAUCAGGAGGAACACCGGUGGCGAAGGCGGGUCUCUGGGCAGUAACUGACGCUGAGGAGCGAAAGCGUGGGGAGCGAACAGG